GAGAUGCAGCUCAGUGGUAGAGCAUUUGCCUAGCAUGUGCCAGGCCCUGGGUUCUAUUCCCAGUACCACA
rnacentral:tRNA from 1 species